rnacentral:rRNA from 1 species
AACGUAGGAGGCAAGCGUUAUUCGGAUUUACUGGGCGUAAAGCGCGUGCAGGCGGUUCGGUAAGUUGGAUGUGAAAGCUCCUGGCUCAACUGGGAGAGGUCGUUCAAUACUGCCGGGCUAGAGGAUGAGAGAGGGAGGUGGAAUUCCGGGUGUAGUGGUGGAAUGCGUAGAUAUCCGGAGGAACACCAGUGGCGAAAGCGGCCUCCUGGCUCAUUUCUGACGCUAAGACGCGAAAGCUAGGGUAGCAAACGGG